rnacentral:rRNA from 1 species
UGGGGAAUCUUAGACAAUGGGGGAAACCCUGAUCUAGCCAUGCCGCGUGAGCGAUGAAGGCCUUAGGGUUGUAAAGCUCUUUCAGCUGGGAAGAUAAUGACGGUACCAGCAGAAGAAGCCCCGGCUAACUCCGUGCCAGCAGCCGCGGUAAUACGGAGGGGGCUAGCGUUGUUCGGAAUUACUGGGCGUAAAGCGCACGUAGGCGGAUUAGUCAGUCAGAGGUGAAAUCCCAGGGCUCAACCCUGGAACUGCCUUUGAUACUGCUAGUCUUGAGGUCGAGAGAGGUGAGUGGAAUUCCGAGUGUAGAGGUGAAAUUCGUAGAUAUUCGGAGGAACACCAGUGGCGAAGGCGGCUCACUGGCUCGAUACUGACGCUGAGGUGCGAAAGCGUGGGGAGCAAAACAGAUUAGAUACCCUGGUAGU